rnacentral:lncRNA from 1 species
UCAGCAAAGAGAUGCCAGUCCUGGUGGGGCACCUGUAAUCCUAGCUACUCGGGAGGCUAGGAUUUCAUAAGAAGAAACUGAAAGGACACCAAAAGGAGGCAGGCAGAGGCCAUGAGGCAGCAGGGGCCAUGGACCCCAGGAUUAGCAGAGGACACGAGUAGGCAGCAGUAGAGUGAGCAGAAAUAGUCGGCAAGGAUGGAGGCAGCUAGGGUAGCA